rnacentral:rRNA from 1 species
AUUGAACGCUGGCGGCAGGCCUAAUACAUGCAAGUAGAACGCAGUUGCGAACGGGUGAGUAACGUGUAGGUAACUGCCUCAUAGCGGGGGAUAACUCUUGGAAACGAUAGCUAAUACCGCAUACUUUGAGAUGGACCUGCGUUGUAUUAGCUAGUUGGUGAGGUAACGGCUCAACAAGGCCACGCUGCAUAGCCGACCUGAGAGGAGGAUCGGCCACACUGGGACUGAGACACGGCCCAGACUCCUACGGGAGGCAUCAGUAGGGAAUCUUCGGCAAUGGGCGAAAGUCUGACCGAGCAACGCCGCGGGAGUGAAGAAGGUUUUCGGAUUGUAAAACUCUGUUGUUAGAGAAGCGGUAUCUAACCAGAAAGCCACGGCUAACUACGUGCCAGCAGCCGCGGUAAUAC